GCAGGGAUGGUGUAGUUGGUCAUCACGACUGUCUAACACACAGUAGGUCCCGGGUUCAAACCCCGGUCCCUGUA
rnacentral:tRNA from 1 species